rnacentral:rRNA from 1 species
UGCGCAGGCGGGAAAUUAAGUCAGUGGUGAAAGCCCCGAGCUCAACUUGGGAACUGCCGUUGAAACUGGUUUUCUUGAAUAUAGUUGAGGUAGGCGGAAUACAGCAUGUAGCGGUGAAAUGCAUAGAUAUGCUGUAGAACACCAAUUGCGAAGGCAGCUUACUAAACUAUUAUUGACGCUGAGGCACGAAAGCGUGGGGAGCGAACA